UCAGUUUUUUAUCCUGUAACUCUUAUUGAUCUUGAAUUGUAUGUUGUGGUUUUAAAUGUGAACUAUAAAUCUGAUUUCUAGGUAUUGUACAUAUAAAUAACUUGGAAACUUCACUCGUUUUGCCGGGAUAUAUGGAGAAAGAAACAGAAAGAUUGUGCCUGCACGCAUUUUACGUAAUGAUAAGGUGAUAUAUAGUCAGUGAGUUAUUAAGGCCUUAAAACAAUUAUAUUUACAUGCAAUAGAAAUUAAAAAUACAUAACUAGCUAUAGAUUCAAGAAUAUGGUGUACCGAAAGCUUGAAACUAAGCUGUAUUUCGAAUUUAAUUUAGCCCCUCCAAUACUAGCAUACGACAUAAGAACCUGUCACAGGGAUCACAGAAUAUACUAGUUCAUUGGAUCUGUUGCUCACAAUCACUAGAAGGGGAUGUAAGGAGGAUUAUGGGCAUUUGUCACCCUUUUAAACGAUAUAUGUGAUUUUUAUUUAAUUAUUAUAUCUUGCAACUAAAGUUUUCUAUGUUCUUAAGCAUCUCUGUUUUCUAGUGAUUUUCACCAAAGUGAAUUGUCACAUUACAAGAGGAGCAAGCUUCUGUGCUUCAGUUCAUUUGGGGUAGAUCCGACCUAUAGUGAAACAUUUGUUAUUUGGGGAGCAAAUACAUUGUUCAGGUGAAAUGUCAAACUCUCCUUUGAGACGUAUAUAUGAGAUUCUUACACUCCCUCAUUCAAUUGAUGAUUUCAAGGAUCAGAUAAGAUACAAAAGGAUAUGUAACUUUAUGAUUUGAAGCAUAAAAAGAAACAAAUGUUAAUUUUUUUGAUAUGAUGCUUGAUUGAUUACAUACAUUACGGGUGAGCAAUUCAAUAUAGAAGGGAUUGUUUCACAUUUGUACAUACAAAUGUA